AUACAAGCUAGGCAUCCUCCGUUGUAGAGCUAGCGUUACAUUUAGGCUCCGCUUAUCAUUUUCCUUGCUGGUGAACAGGAGAGACAGCGGGCGCUGUAGCUAAGCUAGCAUGAAACAUCCGCCAUGUUGUGACCUCGGUCCACCCGAUCUUGCCCCAUUUGCACCUUUCGCAGAUGCUUUUUAAUCUAUGCCUAUAAGGUGCUUGAUAAAACUCCAAGCAGGCUGACAUGCAAGAGCCAUGAAAUUUACCUUCUCGAGGUUAUUUUUUUGCAGCAUUCUUGUGACACGAAUUAAAGAAUAGGAUAUGCUGACAUUUCCAAUGUGAGAGGGACUUCCCUAUUGAUCUUGUGCGGUAGAUGUGGUGUAUCAACGUAAGGAGGAGCUCCUCUUAAAUGCUCAAGGGGAGAAGCGAGUGGUUUGCUUGCUAACUGAGGCCGCUUUUGUUACUAUGCAAGAUUCCAGUGAAUAGCAUCAAAAAUUCAGAUAAUUAUGCGAUGGUAAGGCUUCAAGUAAUUUAUACAGUACACUUAGUAUCAUUAGACAUUAAGACCGUGAUGUUGUUCAUGUCAUUCAGCUCCUAGAUCUUCCAUCAUAUUAUUGAACUUCAGAUUGAUGGCGUUGAUAAAAAAAUACAGCAGCACAAAACUAGGCAUAUUUAUUAUGUUUUAGGUGUGUAAAUGCUCCCUCGGUUCUUCUUUGUCCUAGCUACAUUUGUCUUGAUAUUGGUAAAAAACAAAUUCAGGUGAUGUCAGGCUGUAGAGGUGUGGAUCUGCGUGAGCAGUUAGUUCGGGUAACUGUACAUAUAAAAUUAGUCCAACUAAUUGCCUUUGAGAA